UACGUAGGGUGCAAGCGUUAAUCGGAAUUACUGGGCGUAAAGCGUGCGCAGGCGGUUUUGUAAGUCAGAUGUGAAAUCCCCGGGCUUAACCUGGGAACUGCGUUUGAAACUACAAGGCUAGAGUGUAGCAGAGGGGGGUGGAAUUCCACGUGUAGCAGUGAAAUGCGUAGAGAUGUGGAGGAACACCGAUGGCGAAGGCAGCCCCCUGGGUUAACACUGACGCUCAGGCACGAAAGCGUGGGGAGCAAACAGG
rnacentral:rRNA from 1 species